UUGAACGCUGGCGGCAGGCCUAACACAUGCAAGUCGAACGGUAACAGGGAUCAGCUUGCUGAUUCGCUGACGAGUGGCGGACGGGUGAGUAAUGUCUGGGAAACUGCCUGAUGGAGGGGGAUAACUACUGGAAACGGUAGCUAAUACCGCAUAACGUCGCAAGACCAAAGAGGGGGACCUUCGGGCCUCUUGCCAUCGGAUGUGCCCAGAUGGGAUUAGCUAGUAGGUGGGGUAACGGCUCACCUAGGCGACGAUCCCUAGCUGGUCUGAGAGGAUGACCAGCCACACUGGAACUGAGACACGGUCCAGACUCCUACGGGAGGCAGCAGUGGGGAAUAUUGCACAAUGGGCGCAAGCCUGAUGCAGCCACGCCGCGUGUAUGAAGAAGGCCUUCGGGUUGUAAAGUACUUUCAGCGGGGAGGAAGGGAGUAAAGUUAAUACCUGUGCUCAUUGACGUUACCCGCAGAAGAAGCACCGGCUAACUCCGUG
rnacentral:rRNA from 1 species